GACGGAGGGUGCAAGCGUUGUUCGGAAUUACUGGGCGUAAAGGGCGCGUAGGCGGUCUGUUAAGUUCGGUGUGAAAGCCCUCGGCUUACCCGGGGAACUGCGCCGGAAACCGACAGACUCGAGUACCGGAGAGGAGGGUGGAAUUCCUGGUGUAGCGGUGAAAUGCGUAGAUAUCAGGAGGAACACCGGUGGCGAAGGCGGCCCUCUGGACGGAUACUGACGCUGGAGGCGCGAAAGCGUGGGGGAUCAAACAGG
rnacentral:rRNA from 1 species